rnacentral:ncRNA from 1 species
GGAGAUAGAGGUCGCAUUUUUCAUAAGUAGGAUGACGGAUGUGUCAGGCACAGAGGAACUCAUCAGAAAGGGGAAGAUGCCGAAGGGACGGAGCGCCUGAAGCUCAGUUCCUGGGCAUGACGUGAAUAACGGCAUGACUGUCAUCGCAGGAUGGAGAGCUAUCUGG